rnacentral:misc_RNA from 1 species
UUUCCCUCUUCCUUCGACUUC